rnacentral:tRNA from 1 species
GGGGUAGUAGCUCAGUUGGUAGAGCAUAGAUCUUAUUUACAAAAUUACCUUAUGGUCUAAUUGUAAAUUACUUCUUUAGGGAUUCUACGGUCGCAGGUUCGAUUCCUGCCUACUCCA